CUUUUUCUGAGAUCAGAAUUCAUAUUCCUUUCUUUCUCAGUAGCAGGUUCAUCAUAACUUAGUGAGAAUGUUACUAUUGCAAGUUUAUCUUCUUGCUUCAGUAGUUUGGUCUUAUGGAGAGGCCCAAGUACUGGUACAAUCUCAACUAUCCAUCACCAAAGCAGAAGAUAGAACUGCACAAAUUGACUGUCAUGUUUCUGGCAUAGCCCUUAGUAGUGCUUAUAUACACUGGUAUCGACAGAGACCUGGUGCAGCUCUGGAAUGGUUUCUCUAUCUUUCAUCAGGAAAACCCGUCUUUGACCAGGAUUCUGAGAAGGGAAACUUUGAGGCAGAGAAGCAGCUCUCCAAGUCGACCUGCGUCCUGAUAAUAAAGAAAAUAAGCAAGAGUGACGCGGCUACCUAUUACUGUGCCGCGUGGGAUCACACAGCAUCAAAAAAACAUUCACAUUCUGUACAAAAACCUACUUUGUAUUCUCAACAGCAGCCUUUCGAAUGCAAGAAACCACAGUUACCUCCUAAUCCUGCUUCUCAUGAUGGAAGCAGAUGCAGAAACACCUUACUGGGUACUGCAACAAGAGAUCAAAGCAACACGACUGUUGCUUGCACAAGUUUUGCAAACAGUAAGAUCCCACCUGUCUCUGCCAAACAACAAGACCAAGUAGUUGCACAGGGCAGCUAAAUAGCCAGGGCAGCAACAUUUUCAGUUGCUCUCCCUAGGGGGUGACUAAGGUGUGAUACAUAUUUUCCAGUUUGCAAAAGGAAGCUGGCACGACAAUUGAAUUAGGUCAAGAUUGGACAUUCCUUGAAACAGGAAGGACAGGAAAGUCAAUCCAGGGUGUUCAAUCCAAUAUGCAGAUCUAAUGAAAAGUCUCCUGGUUACAGUAUAUAUACUCAGUAUAUAUACUCCUGAUCAAUAAACUCAUUUUAAUACUGCCUAUAUAUUCCAGUAAUAUUUGUGCAAUUAGUUACUCAAGUGCACUGAAUACUAGACUUCUAAUGUAAAAUAUGUUGUAACACUACUAGAGG